CAUAAAAGCUCAUUUGUACUAUUAGCUAGAAUUUCACUACACUAGCUAGCUAGAGAGAGUAUUCAGCAUUGGGUGUCUGAACUGGCGUUGUUAGCAUCCCUUUCGUUUCACAUGGAUUGAUUUGAUACCGGUUCAGCCAGCAUGCAUUAAGCUAGCUAGCUACCUAAUUGUCGUACACGUUUCAAUUUUUAUAAAUACUGAUUCUACAACCUCAAAACACCGUAGCUAGAUGUAGAAUUAGGUAGCCAUUCCAGCAUACGACGCGAGAGGCCGGUGGUUGAACAUGUAAAUAACCUACAAAUAAGCACAUUAUUUGUUUGUUUAUUAAGUGUGGAUUAUUUUUAAUGAAGCCAUUCAAAUACUGUUGCUGACCUCUGUUGAAUGCACGUGAUGGGCAAUGGGCUGACUGAGAGGAGUAUGUUUUGCGCAGUCUGGCAGUAAACCAACUAUCUUUCAGCUGCUGAUGAUGACAACAACAACAACUGCAUCCAGGCAACAACCCAUACUGUAGCCUACUGUACCAUAAUAAAGUCCACCAGAGUUGGUACCAAGAUUGAAGUGGGCCAUCAUUCAAACAAAGAGAUGCCUCCCUGGCCACCAGUGCAUAUUUUUUAACUAUGCUUGCAUAAUGACAAUAAAAUCAGAAAACUAUGCUGGUAUUCUUUUGUUAUUUAAUUGUUUAUU